UAAUACGUAGGUGGCAAGCGUUGUCCGGAAUUAUUGGGCGUAAAGCGCGCGCAGGCGGUCCUUUAAGUCUGAUGUGAAAGCCCACGGCUCAACCGUGGAGGGUCAUUGGAAACUGGGGGACUUGAGUGCAGAAGAGGAAAGCGGAAUUCCACGUGUAGCGGUGAAAUGCGUAAAGAUGUGGAGGAACACCAGUGGCGAAGGCGGCUUUCUGGUCUGUAACUGACGCUGAGGCGCGAAAGCGUGGGGAGCAAACAGGAUUAGAUACCCUGGUAGUCCACGCCGUAAACGAUGAGUGCUAAGUGUUAGAGGGUUUCCGCCCUUUAGUGCUGCAGCUAACGCAUUAAGCACUCCGCCUGGGGAGUACGGCCGCAAGGCU
rnacentral:rRNA from 1 species